GGCCCGGUGGCGGAAUUGGCAUACGCUGGGGAUUUAAAAUCCCCUGCCCCUCGGGGCAUGCGGGUUCAAGUCCCGCCCGGGCCA
rnacentral:tRNA from 1 species